AGUAAAAGGGACUCUGACUGUGACACUUGAGUCAGAUGGAUCUAUGCACAUCCAAGUGCCUCUGUGACAAUGACUGUAGCAAAAGUUCACUCCAGACAAGGGCUACAUGUACGAACAUGUAUCUGCAUGGCCCUUUAGACUGCAAUAACACAUACCUGGAAGCAUCACAGGCAAAAGAAGUAAACAACAGGGGAAAGAAGAAAAGCAUGGUCACAUGCAUCCCGGAUAUUCUGAGGUCAGCACGUGUGGAGGAAUAGCAUACCAUAAGUAACUUGGAGGUGAAGAUUAAUGGUCAGACAGUGGUGUGAAAAUGAUAAGAUCAUCUGGAGAACCAAUCCAAGCACACAGUCUCCAAGACAGGAGACACAGAAGGAGCCUUCCUGGUGCUUCAAACACAGAUUUCUGUUGCAAGACAUUAUUGCAAGAGCAAAUCCAAAAGAAACUGAACUGAAACCCACAGGAUAACCCAGCUUAAAUGACUGGAAAUAUAAAUAAAUUCCUAGUAGCCUAUUAC